rnacentral:rRNA from 1 species
GAUUAAAGAAUUAAAUUUUAAUGUUUAAAAGAAAAUUAAUUUAAUUAAAAUAAUAAUUUUUAAAUUUUAAAUUUUAGUAAAUUUUAAAGAAUAAAUAAAAAAAUUUAUAGAAAAUUAGUAUAGAGAUAGAAUUUUUAAAAAAAUAAUGAAAUUUAAUUUAUUUAAAGUUAAUUUAAUUUUUUGUAUCUUGAGUAUCAGAGAUUAUUUAAAUAAAAUUAUUUAUUAUUAAAUUUUUCGAAAAAAAAAGAGUUAAUUUAAUUAAUUAUUUUAGUUAUUGUUUUAAAAAUAUUAAUAAUAAUUUAAUUGAAAUGAAAUGUUAAACGAUUUUUUUAAUAUCUAAUUUAAAAAGAAAUAAAUUAAAUUUAUUUAAUUAAAAAAUAUUUUUUAAAAAUGAAUUUUUAAAAUAAUUUAAAUUAAAAAUAUUUUUUGGGAUAAGCUAAAAAAUAAAAUUUUAUAUUAAUUAAAUUUAAAGAAUAAAUUUAUAUGAAUAAAAUUAUUAAUUAAUUAUAUUUUUUUAUAAAAAAUUUAUUUUUAAUAAAAAAUUUUAAUUUUUAAUAUUUAAAAUUAAUUUUUAUUUAUUUUUAUUUCUUUUUAUAAACAUAUAAAAAGAAAUAAAAUGAUAAUAUUAGUAUAUAAAUAUUAAUAAAUUUAUAAAAUUUUUAAAUAUUUUAAAUUUAAUUUUAAGAAUUCGGCAAAAAUUUGUAUUCGCUUGUUUAACAAAAACAUGUCUUUAAGAAAAAUAAUUUAAAGUCUAAUCUGCCCCCUGAAUAUUAUAAUUUAAAGGGCUGCAGUAUUUUAACUGUACAAAGGUAGCAUAAUAAUUAGGUUUUUAAUUUAAAUCUUGAAUGAAUGAUUGGACGAAAUACAUACUGUUUUAAAUUAAAAAGUAAAACUUAAUUUUUUAGUUAAAAAGCUAAAAUAAUUUUAAAAGACGAGAAGACCCUAUAAAUUUUAAUAAUAAAUAAAUUUAUGAAAUUUUAAAAUUUUAAAUUAAUAUAAUUAAUUGAUUAUUUUAUUGGGGCGAUAAAAAAAUUUAAAAAACUUUUUUAUAAAUUAAAUUUUAAUUAAAAUAUUUUUUGUUUAUGAGUUAUUUUUUAUAAUUAAAAGAUUAAAAUACUUUAGGGAUAACAGCGUAAUAUUAAUUUUAAGUACUUAUUAAAAUUAAAGUUUGCGACCUCGAUGUUGGAUUAAAAUUUAAUUUAAAUGUAAAAGUUUAAAUAUUUAAGUCUGUUCGACUUUUAAAAUUUUACAUGAUCUGAGUUCAAACCGGUGUGAGCCAGGUUGGUUUCUAUCUUUAAUUAAAAAUUUAUAUUUUAGUACGAAAGGAAUUUAUAUUUAAAAUAAUUUUUUAUAUAAUUGAUUAAAUUUAAUUUUUAUAAAAUAAUAAAU